CUGAAAUGGCUGGGUUGGAAGGACACCUUGGACAUCUCAUGGUAGCAAAGUGGCCGUGCAAAUGAGGAGCAAGGGUUAAUUUCUGGCUGCCUUUAAGCUGAUGGCAGAACUCCUGAUGACUUCAAAGGGUGAAGAUCUCACCUCAGGUUUCAGCUGGUCCUUUUGGGUCUCUGAAGAUUCAAGGAAACCCAGAUGUAAUUAAUCUUCACUUGGAAGAUGCACCUGAAUCACAG
ensembl:lncRNA